rnacentral:pre_miRNA from 1 species
CAUAUAUAUUUGUGUGUGUGUAUGUGUGUGUGUGUGUCUAUACAUUUACUUUUAUAUGAAUACACACACACACACACACACAUAUAUAUA